AUAAAAAAGGGAAAAAUUAACAUGACAAAGAGGAUUAGGGUUAAGAAAUUGUGACCUCUCAACUCUCUUCUCCUCUUCACGUGCGACGGCGAAUCAAGCUUCCAUCUCCGGUGCGAUCUUUUCCGGCUAUAGCUCCAAAAACGGCCUCUCACUCUUCUCCGAUCUUCUUCUGUUCAUCUCCGUUAGCAACAAUCGCGUCACCGUCCCCAUAUCUCCACCUCAAACGCCCUCUCACCAAUCUGCGACGAAGCUUCCACAGUAUUACGGCGAUGAGAAUUCCAAAGCCAAAUCUGAUGAUGCUUUGGCUCUAUAUUUCUUCUUCAUUUCAGAUUCGCGCUGCGUUAUUGGUACGAUUGAAUUUCGUGUAUGACGACGAAGCCGUGAGGUGGCUCUAUAUUUCGUGAAUGAUGAGUAUCACUGUGCUAUCGAUUCUGCAGCUUACGCGAUGUUGCAAUUUACGAGGUGCGUUGAAGAUGUCUCACGAAGGAAUUGAAGAGUUAUGUGAUGGUGAUUGAUGAAGAUGAAGCAGAGAUUUGAAGAUUUGAUUCUGUUUUCUGGGAGAUUGUUGAAUUGAAGCUGCGUGAGGUGAAGAGAAGAAGAUUGAAGACUGUUUUUGUGAAUUUUUGUAGUGAUUGAAGAAGAAGGUUGAAUGAGCGAUGAAGAUUUCUUCUGGUUAGAGUUUUCUAUUUUCUAAUUUCUUCUGUUAUGUGAAGAGUGGUUGGUGAUUGAACCAAGGUGUGGAGAAGGUUGAAGAAGAAGAUGAAGUGGAGGGAUGAACAGAUGAGGGUGAGAUUGAAAUUGGUGAAGAUUGAAGCAUAAGGUGUGUGACGAAAAGGAAGGAGGCAGGGUGAAGAAUCCAGAACAGGUGAAGAAGUGAAGAAGUCCUGUUAUAUAGAGUAUGAAGGAGCUUUGAGCUUUUAUCGAUUGAAAGUGAUGGAUGAUUUGAAGAUUGGAGCCAAAGUUUUUUUUGAAGUUUCUUGAAGAUUUAUGAUUGUUGAAGAUUCCAGGGAGGAAGAAGAUUUUGUUACAGGUUAGUUUCUGGAUCUAUUAUAGAUUCGGUUGUGAUCUUUUUUUCUUCUCUUUCUCUCCCGUUUUCUGUUACGCUUCCUUUUUUGUUACCAGUUCUUCUCCUUCUGGAUGCGGGGUGUGAGCUGCUUGUUCUAGGUGUGUGAUUUUGUUUAUGAACUCUGGUUUUAUGCAUGGGGUCUUGUUUACUUGUGGAAGCUUGCUUAAAGUUUCAAGGAGUAUAUUCUUUGAAGUACAGGGCUUAGGCUUGUAUUAAUGUGCAACCGAUUUUCUUCCUAGCUUCAAGUUAUUGGUUCCUUCAUGUAAUCCUUUUUUGUAUGAUUAUUUAUUUUUGUAAUGACAUGUAUUGCGAUUGUAAUCUUUUUGCUUGGACUUAGAAAUUUUGUAAUUCAUUGAAUAAGGAAAUUCUGCCUAUUUGAAUGCA